ACUCUGUUGGGUGCAAAAUGUCUCUCAAAGAGAGGACAAUGAGGUCCAGUGGCUCUGGGUAGGGAUCAUUGCUAAAGAUUACCACCCUCCUGCACCUCUUCUGAGCAUCUCUGUGACACUGUGGAUCUCCCAAAAAUAUGAUGAUUGCUGUUUGACCCACCAGUUAAGAAUAAUUUACAGUGCAGCAGUUUUGGCCCAACAGUCCCUUCUCACACAUUCCCCCUUCUGAAUAUGUAUGAUUUUAAUGGAGUUUGUGGACAUGUGUUUCUGGAUUAAUCUUGUGUUUCUGUGAAUAAAAUUUAUUAGUUCAUAUUGACCAUGUUAUUUUCCCAGCUGAGCUGUUCUUUGGGCAACUUGAAAUUCAGGUGUCUGUACUUAUAUUGUGCUGAAAGGCAUGAUUCCCAGUAGAUGGGAAACCUGCUGUGCCUGCUUGGAGAGGGACCUUUUUCAUCUCUGCCCAGCAAAGAGAGGAAUUUUAAGUCAACCUGGCUUUCCAUCCUCAGUUUGUAAUUCUGUUGCUAAGUGGCAAUGAAAGAAGAUUAUCAGCUCACAGAUUAACAGAAACCUCUAUUCAGUGCUCAUGUGUAAUUAUACAUUUCAGUUACAUACUUGAGAGCUGAGCUUUAGCUUCUGUGCUCCUACCUCAGCCUCACCCCACCAGAGAUUUUUAUCCUCAGGGUCUGAUCAGGAUUCUGAUAAAUUUGCCUUUCUUUUCCACACUCAGCCUCUGCACCCUGGGGUGGCUCUGCAUGCAAGAGUACCCCGAGGGUCUCUACUCUCAGGGUGGGUCUCAGAAACUAAAGUCCUACUCUAGUCUUUUGAAAUUAUUUAUUUUGGGAGAAAGCAGGAAGAGCAUAUAAAAUGGUCUAAAGAGUUCAGAACCUUCAGAGGUUACCUAUUUGCUUCCUCCAAUAAUAAAUUCCCUCUAUUUUUUUCUCUCUUUUCCAAGCUAAUAUGUUCCACUGUCUCAGCCAAAUUGGCCAAGCAGCAUCAAAAAGUGGAGGAAGACACAAGCCUGAGUGCCUGAGUAUGAAGAGGUAGCAUUGACUUUAUCAUGGACCAUGGCCAAUGGACCACUCCAGAAAAUGCAUCAAAACUUCUGAAAGAAAAAUGCUGUAGGGAGUCCUAAGGGAGCAAUCUUUUGAGAGCUGGAAUGUGCUGACAGGUGUCAAGAGGGUGGUGCCAGGCCCUGAAAGCAGUGCCCAGACACAGGACAAGGAGUAAUGGCCAUAAACUAACACUCGAGACAUUUCACCUCAACAUGAGGAGGAACCUUUUUCCAUCGAGGGUGGCAGAGCACUGGAACAGGUCAGAAUACUCCUUCUCAGUGAAAAACCUGAAUAAGAUAUCUGAGAAAUAAGUGAAGACACUCUGGAACAACAUCAUGUCUGCCCUUCCCUUUGGAUUUUGCACUGUGGAUGAAGCAUCCUGGCUCAGUCCCUUCCUUGCCCACUCCCUUCCUGCUUGCUGACAGGACAAUGUGAGCAGCAGAAAAGGCCUUGACACUUUGCAAGUGCUGUUCAGCAAUAACUAACACGUCCCCUAUGUUAGCAGCACUGUUCAGGUCACAAAUGUAAAGCAGCGCCACAGGUGCUCUAUGAAGAAAAUCAAUUCUAUCCCAGGCAAAAGCAGUACUAUGGGAUGCCAGACUGCACUAAAAAUUAUUAGAGUGAUUUGCAGAAAGGGGAUCACACUAAUGGGGUGAGAUCUCUGGAAAAUGAUAUACUGAAAUACAUCUUUUAAGUGUGUUAGUGGAUGUCUUGAAAGUUUAUGAUUUUUUAACCAGAAUGUUCAUUUAGAUAUCUCCUUCAAAAAACUUCCUUAAUCUUUAAUAGCCAACUACACUUCUAUACUGACCUGGAUUAAUUUACAAGUCAAAUUUUACUAUGGCUGCUUUGCCAGCUUCUGUUAUGGUGUUAUUGUACUUGUAACUUCUUUUAAUUUGACACUGCUUUGCAGGAAUUUUCUCGAAUUUGAAAGGUGAAGAACACAAUGGAAAAGGAAGUUAAUCUAUUUUUUAAAUUAGUUUAACCCUGUAUUUUAAAAAAAAUUCCUGUGCUAUGUGUCUCACAAGGAUUUUGAACUAAUCUUUUGAAGUAACACAAGAAGAGUGAGUCAGGAAAUUUAUCAGAGUCUAUAAUGGUGGUUGACUCUAUUCAAGUUGUAAGGGGUAUUUUCAUAUGAGAGAAGACCUUGUUCAGUAUCAUUCUAUCUUCCCUUUCUUUGAUAAGGGCACCCUAACUAACAUCAAGGAGGCUGUAAGGUCACUCUGUUUACACUUUGCUUCACAUGGUAUCAAAUAUUUAAAUGCUCAUUUAUUCAAAGAACAGGGGUGUGUGAGAAUGACCCCUGUGCUACUUGUUCAGGACAUGGUCCUUGAGAUCUGUUACAGUUUAUUUAUUAGGGACUUCAUCUACCCCAGGUGACAGCUGUUUAUCCAAAAUUCAGGAAGCUCAACUACCAACCAAUUCCACUAGCACCACCUGGAAAACUGUAUUUGAAGCAUUUUUUUUACCCAUCUAACACUAAGUGUAAUUUGCUUGCUUGCUUAAAGAGAUGCCUGAAAAACCUCACACAGAA